UACGGGGGGAGCAAGCGUUGUUCGGAUUUACUGGGCGUAAAGGGCGCGUAGGCGGCCACCGCAAGUCAAUUGUGAAAUCUCCGAGCUUAACUCGGAAAGGUCAACUGAUACUGUGCGGCUAGAGUGCGGAAGGGGCAACUGGAAUUCUUGGUGUAGCGGUGAAAUGCGUAGAUAUCGAGAGGAACACCAGUGGCGAAGGCGAGUCCCUGGACAACACCUGACACUGAGGCACGAAAGCUAGGGGAGCAAACAGG
rnacentral:rRNA from 1 species